AUUGAACGCUGGCGGCAGGCCUAACACAUGCAAGUCGAGCGGAGCGGCGGACGGGUGAGUAAUGUAUGGGAACCUGCCCCUUAGCGGGGGAUAACUACACGAAAGCGUAGCUAUUACCGCAUACUCUAGGAGCUGCCCAUAGGGGAUUAGCUAGUUGGUGGGGUAACGGCUCACCUAGGCGACGAUCCGUCGCUGGUUUGAGAGGAUGACCAGCCACACUGGAACUGAGACACGGCCCAGACUCCUACGGGAGGCAGCAGUGGGGAAUAUUGCACAAUGGGGGAAACCCUGAUCCAGCCAUCCCGCGUGUGUGAUGAAGGCCUUCGGGUUGUAAAGCACUUUCAGCAGGGAGGCGUUACCUGCAGAAUAAGCACCGGCUAACUCCGUGCCAGCAGCCGCGGUAAUAC
rnacentral:rRNA from 1 species